rnacentral:lncRNA from 1 species
CCUUGUCCAUAGGAACUAUAGAGAAUGAAUAGUUAAAACGGCACAACUGGUUCUCUCACUGAAUAGUCAAGAACAUUACACUGGAUAAUGGAACUAAACCUGGUCCUGAAAAAAAUCAGUUUCCUUUUGUCUUUCUUUCAUCUUAAACAUGAAUAGAAUUGUCAGAGUAAAAACUGGAGAAACUCCUAUGCUUUUAAUAGUUAUGUAGAAGAGGGAAUUUCAACAGGUGCUGCUUGUUACUUGGGUACAUGACAAGCAGUACUGGCUGAAAUUUCAUUUUCUACACAACCAUUAAAGUAAAGGAGUUUCUCUAGUUUUCAGUCGGGCAAUGCUAUGAACACAGAAGCAAGCUCUGCCCUAGCUUUAUCGCACAUGAAAUAUGCUUUACAGCAAGAAGCAUGAACAUUUUGCUCCUUGAAUUGGGUAGGCAAUUAGCUUUUGACAGUUGUCUACCACACCUGGCAGUAUGCUUGAUCUUCUGCCACUACUGUAUGGACAGCUGCAAUCUGUUCAGUCUGAAGAAGUUUGCACUGGAAAAAGAAGGAGUCUAGAUCGCUCAAUAAUGGUGUGUUUCUAGGUAGAAAGUCAAUUAUCAAACUGACAGUGACACCUACUGCUUCUUCCUUCACCCAACCACCCUUUUCUGGACCAGAACAAGGAACAUUUGAACAGAGGUACUGGAAAGAGGACAAUGAGGAUCCAGAGGCUCACCUUAGUGAAACCUCUUCUGGCAGAACUAUGCCAGCCAUUGGUGUCGAUACCAAACAGAUUUGGGGAUUGAAGUCAGUGUCUGAAAUGGUAAAGGCAUUCUUCCUCUUGAGCAACAGCUGUCAGCAUUAGAGAUGCCUAUCUUGUUUUCAUCCCGGCGGUGGCGUGAAGUUUUAAUAUUUGUGUUCCAAAGCCAGUAAAACCGGCAGUUUUACAUUUAAGCAAAUAAACCUUAUACGAAUAAGCUAAGACCAACAUUUUCCCUUCUUGUGGGAUGUGUCACUUCUGGCUAUUACUUAUUGUAUUAUUUUAAAGUGUUUCUAUUGUACCUUUCCUCAUACAGUGCAAAAACAAUUAAGUACAAUCUGAAAACAAAGAAUAAAGAGCAAUAGAAAUGAACAGGAACUCUGUUUAAAAGAAAAUGCAAUAAGAAGCAUAAACAAACAUCAUAAAAACCCAAAGCAAAAUAAGAAUUUAGAAAAUUCCCAAAGGGUUGAGUAUAAUUACAAUAGUCAGGGAGAAAAAACUCAAGACGAUUUUAAUGCUGCAGUGGACAAGGAAGUGAAAUGAGAAAAUUAUCACUGAGGCAUCAAGAGAAAACUCCAAAAUCUGUGUGAGACAACACAGGACUGCUGCUAUUAAGAAC